CAGUAGCAGCGACCAAAGAUCCCCCCACGGCGGCGGACCAAAUCCCUCAACCAAGCUGGGCGACUACGCACAGAGGAGGUGAUAUUCCAUCUCUCUGAUGGCUCUUGCCCGCUGUUACGCCGGCGGCCCAGUUUGAGGCCGACCAGAUCAGAGCUCGCGGAGUACUAAGAUCGGCGCCGUUGUGUGCUUGUUGCAGCCUCCCAUCUCAGGCUCCGGCAACGUCUGGUCCGUCGCCUCCUCUCUAUCACAGGAGAUCGGAGCUCGCGUCCUUCUCCACCUCGUCGGCUGCAAGCCCGUGGUCAACUCCUCGUCUCCUUCACCACCGGCCCGUGUGACGUGGUGCGAGCCUACAAGGUGUCACCAUGGUAUGAUCUCUCCCACUACAAGAAGCUCGAUGAGCAAUAAGCACCGGGAUCCCAUAAGCACUAGUAACGGAGGCAAAGGCUAUAGCUUUUCUGUUGUAUACAGUUUGGCAAUGCUUGUUGAACAAUGAUUAUUUUAGUCCUUCAUAUUUAACGUGGGCUGUGAUGCAUGAAAAUUGAUCAUCUCAUGCUAUGUAACACUUGAUAUGUAUGUGUCUCUUCUGCUGUGUUUGGUCUAGGAUCUGUGCAAUUUGAAAUGUAUGUUUGGUUAUGAUUCGAAGUGGACGGAUUAAUGUUCUCAUGUACUCUAAUAUCUUUUAUGAUGUUCACAUACUUUUA